rnacentral:rRNA from 1 species
GAUGAACGCUGGCGGUGUGCCUAAUACAUGCAAGUCGAGCGAACAGACGAGGAGCUUGCUUCUCUGACGUUAGCGGCGGACGGGUGAGUAACACGUGGAUAACCUACCUAUAAGACUGGGAUAACUUCGGGAAACCGGAGCUAAUACCGGAUAAUAUAUUGAACCGCAUGGUUCAAUAGUGAAAGACGGUUUUGCUGUCACUUAUAGAUGGAUCCGCGCCGCAUUAGCUAGUUGGUAAGGUAACGGCUUACCAAGGCAACGAUGCGUAGCCGACCUGAGAGGGUGAUCGGCCACACUGGAACUGAGACACGGUCCAGACUCCUACGGGAGGCAGCAGUAGGGAAUCUUCCGCAAUGGGCGAAAGCCUGACGGAGCAACGCCGCGUGAGUGAUGAAGGUCUUCGGAUCGUAAAACUCUGUUAUUAGGGAAGAACAAAUGUGUAAGUAACUAUGCACGUCUUGACGGUACCUAAUCAGAAAGCCACGGCUAACUACGUG